CCGACCGCUGACGUUGCACGCUGGCGGAGCCAAGCUGUCAUGGCCGCAAGACGCGAGGCCCCGAGUGGACCACGUUUAGGCGCACUAAGUUUACUGUUGCAAGGUGUUCAGCGCAGUAAUUGCGGAGAGUGUGCGGGCAUCGUGGGGCGUUUGUGUCUCGGCGCUGGGCGGUCCUCUGCGUGUUUGGGUGGCGUGCCGCGGUGAAUUCUACACGGCUCCUGCUGGCGGGAAGCCUCCCCUUUUCUUUCUCUUUUAAUAUUCUCCGUGUACCUGGUCUGUUCUGUGGUCGUGGCCCUUGGCUCUCUGAAGUCUUCGUCUUGGGGGAAGAGCUACUGCGAGGCG